rnacentral:rRNA from 1 species
GACGAACGCUGGCGGCGCGCCUAACACAUGCAAGUCGAACGGAGUCAAGAGGAGCUUGCUUUUCUUGACUUAGUGGCGAACGGGUGAGUAACGCGUGAGUAACCUGCCCUGGAGUGGGGGACAACAGUUGGAAACGACUGCUAAUACCGCAUAAGCCCACGGAUCUGCAUGGGUCUGCGGGAAAAGGAUUUAUUCGCUCUAGGAUGGACUCGCGUCCAAUUAGCUAGUUGGUGAGGUAACGGCCCACCAAGGCGACGAUUGGUAGCCGGACUGAGAGGUUGAACGGCCACAUUGGGACUGAGACACGGCCCAGACUCCUACGGGAGGCAGCAGUGGGGGAUAUUGCACAAUGGGGGAAACCCUGAUGCAGCGACGCCGCGUGGAGGAAGAAGGUUUUCGGAUUGUAAACUCCUGUCGUUAGGGACGAUAAUGACGGUACCUAACAAGAAAGCACCGGCUAACUACGUG